rnacentral:misc_RNA from 1 species
ACGAAUAGAAAACAAAAGCGCCUCCUCGGCUGAUGCUGGCCCCUCCCCGGGGCACGUGCACGCCCGGGUUGCGCCUUCCAUUCGCCCUCCCCCCUGUGCACUCCACGUAGGCCGCCGACGGUGGUCCUCUGCCUCGGCCCCUACGAUUUUCGUCUUUGUACGCACACCCCGAUCGCAUGUGUUAGCGGUAGCAUUCUUGUUGACACGCAACGUGAAAUA